CAACUCAUUGAAUAUAAUGAAGAAUUUGAUUCUGAAAACAAUAUUUGUACAUUUAUAGAAAUCUAGUGAACAUUGAAAAUACAAGAAUCACGUAGAACGUCAUGCAUGUAUCAUUAUCUAAAAUACGUAAUGACGAUUUUCGAAAGUGAA
ensembl:ncRNA C24B5.8 ncRNA